GCCUGGGUGGCUCAGUCGGUUGAGUGUCUGACUUCGGCUCAGGUCAUGAUCUCACUGUUUGUGGGUUCGAGCCCCGCGUCGGGCU
rnacentral:tRNA from 1 species